CCCCCCAAGCCCUCCCCUCUCUCUCUUUCUCUCUUCGUGUCUGUUGGAUUUGUCCGCCCUCUCGCCGACUCUCUCUCUCUCCAAAUUGCCAGGUGUACUUCCGUGAAGCUUUGAGAGAGUCGAGAGAGGAGGAAAGAUUUGUUUUUGAGGAAGAAAAACGAUCGGAGAUUCGAGAUCGAAACAAAUCCAAGCGAAAGGAAAGGCGGGCAGAGAAGAGAAGCGAAGAAGAGAGGAGAGCGUUUCAGGCGUUUGAUGGCAAUGAUGGUGGCUCACGGGAGGGUUUUAGUAUGCUGGGAAAAGGCCACGCCCACCUGUGCGCUUUGAUUUCUUAGCUCCGCUCCGGUCCUUAAAGAGCCUCCUUUUGUAAAGGAAGAGAAAAAUAUGCUCAAAAAGAAGUCUUUUUUGGGAGAGAGACAGAGAGGGAAGAAGCAAGAGGAAGAGGAAUAGAAAAAGAAAAAGGGAAGAAAGCUCAAACUCUCUGUGUGUGUGGGAGAGAGAGAGAGAGAGAGAGAGAGAGAGAGAGAGAGANNN
rnacentral:lncRNA from 1 species